ACGAACGCUGGCGGCGCGCCUAACACAUGCAAGUCGAACGGAGCUUAGAGAGCUUGCUUUUUAAGCUUAGUGGCGAACGGGUGAGUAACGCGUGAGUAACCUGCCCUAGAGUGGGGGACAACAGUUGGAAACGACUGCUAAUACCGCAUAAGCCCACGGUGCCGCAUGACACUGAGGGAAAAGGAUUUAUUCGCUUUAGGAUGGACUCGCGUCCAAUUAGCUAGUUGGUGAGGUAACGGCCCACCAAGGCGACGAUUGGUAGCCGGACUGAGAGGUUGAACGGCCACAUUGGGACUGAGACACGGCCCAGACUCCUACGGGAGGCAGCAGUGGGGGAUAUUGCACAAUGGGGGAAACCCUGAUGCAGCGACGCCGCGUGGAGGAAGAAGGUUUUCGGAUUGUAAACUCCUGUCGUUAGGGACGAUAAUGACGGUACCUAACAAGAAAGCACCGGCUAACUACGUGCCAGCAGCCGCGGUAAAACGUAGGGUGCAAGCGUUGUCCGGAAUUACUGGGUGUAAAGGGAGCGCAGGCGGGAAGACAAGUUGGAAGUGAAAACCAUGGGCUCAACCCAUGAAUUGCUUUCAAAACUGUUUUUCUUGAGUAGUGCAGAGGUAGAUGGAAUUCCCGGUGUAGCGGUGGAAUGCGUAGAUAUCGGGAGGAACACCAGUGGCGAAGGCGGUCUACUGGGCACCAACUGACGCUGAGGCUCGAAAGCAUGGGUAGCAAACAGGAUUAGAUACCCUGGUAGUCCAUGCCGUAAACGAUGAUUACUAGGUGUUGGGGGAUUGACCCCCUCAGUGCCGCAGUUAACACAAUAAGUAAUCCACCUGGGGAGUACGACCGCAAGGUUGAAACUCAAAGGAAUUGACGGGGGCCCGCACAAGCAGUGGAGUAUGUGGUUUAAUUCGAAGCAACGCGAAGAACCUUACCAGGUCUUGACAUCCGAUGCAUAGCACAGAGAUGUGUGAAAUCCUUCGGGACAUCGAGACAGGUGGUGCAUGGUUGUCGUCAGCUCGUGUCGUGAGAUGUUGGGUUAAGUCCCGCAACGAGCGCAACCCUUAUUGCCAGUUACUACGUUAAGAGGACUCUGGCGAGACUGCCGUUGACAAAACGGAGGAAGGUGGGGAUGACGUCAAAUCAUCAUGCCCCUUAUGACUUGGGCUACACACGUGCUACAAUGGCGCAUACAAAGAGAAGCGACCUCGCGAGAGCAAGCGGACCUCAUAAAGUGCGUCGUAGUCCGGAUUGGAGUCUGCAACUCGACUCCAUGAAGUCGGAAUCGCUAGUAAUCGUGGAUCAGAAUGCCACGGUGAAUACGUUCCCGGGCCUUGUACACACCGCCCGUCACACCAUGAGAGUUGGGGAUACCCGAAGCCUGUGAGCCAACAGUUAAAUGAGGCAGCAGUCGAAGGUAGAAUCAAUGAUUGGGGUG
rnacentral:rRNA from 1 species